CUUAAGGUGGAUGAGUUGAACCGCGAGGCCGUUAUAGAAUUGAUGGCAUUGAAAGGCUACUAUACCAUAUUUAUAAUUUUAAAUUAAAAUGUUGAGAGGAGAAAAGUUAAUAAACUUUAUAACGUAAUGAGUGUUUUUUUUUUUCUUGAAGCUAGGAUUUGUAGUUUUUGAUCAAACGUGAUUUUUAUACUGUAAUUUAUUGUUCAACUCACUUUUGCAAGAAUUUCUCCAAACAUAAAUCACUUUACCUUUAACUCAAUUUAAUCCAGAAUCAUUUCACUCGAAAUCAAUUUUUUUUCACCGCAGAACCAAACAUACGCAUAGAAGUGAUUGUUAUCAAUUAAUGUUGUUUGAAUAGUUUUAACAAAAUUGAUUUUGAAUUGUAUAAUUACCAAAAUGGUAAUAAAUUCUAAUACAAAUUAAAAAGAAAAGAAGUAAUUGAUGAAAUUAAAGAGGGUAAAGUAGGAAAAUUUAAAAGAGUUGUAAUAAAUAAUAUAUAAUAAAUGUAGAAUUGAUUCUACCAAAUUCAAAAGCUAGGAAUUAUAGCUUCUACUAGAAUUGCUUUUGGAGGAGGAGAAUUGAUUUUGAAAAAGUAUUCAAACAAGAAAAAAAAACAAAUUUUCAAGUUGAAGUGGAUUAGAAGUGCUUUUGGGACUUGUAGAAGCCAAUCCAAACAUGCACUAAGGGUUGAGCAUUUUUGGGAGAUAUUAUUUGGGUUAGGAUGCAUUUCAAACUCCUUUGGGUAGUGAGAUUCAUUGGAGAAAGGAUCAUAACAUUCUAUCUGGAUCUCUCUUAGGAUCUUCACGUGGGUUGUCUGAAACGAAUAAGGGGUGAAAAUUAGGGAUUGUUCUUAGAGAACAUGAGAACUUGAUUUCUUAGCGGUCUAAGGAAGCAAAGUUCCACAUGGAUUUAUCUAUUCCACUGGGAACAUAAACAAUCAUGCAAGUACUUUCUUCGAGUUGUAAGAUUUGGAAAUGUUUCUGUAAUUCCAAAAGUCCAAAGACUCGAUAAUCAUUUCAGUAGCCCUAAAUACCAAUGGAUUUUUCAGUGGCAUUCUAAUAGUUUAUCUUGUUUCAUCCCCUCUACUUGUUGGGACCAUUCAUAGGCUUAAUAUUGCUCUAACAAUUUAAGUGCACCUCUAUGGGAGCACACUGGGGCCUCUAAAGUUAGGUCUAAAACAAUCAUUUCUCUAUUCCAUCUUAGACGUUUGUAAACAUAAGGCAUUGAAUCACUUUGAUAAGAUUGGUUGGAUUACUUCUUGUUAAGACUCAAAAUGUUUCUUUAGAAAUAGACAUCCCGUUAUCAGUUAUGGUCUGCUUCGGAAGCACUGAUCUUCUUUGAACUACAGCCCUAUUGGGACAUUUCAAGUAGGGGUAUAAGUGUGGUGAUCUCUAGGAGAAAAAUAAGUCCUUGUAUUCUUAGGAGGGUCAUAAAUUCUUCUUGGAUUCAUGAAUUUCCUUUGAUGAUUAUUUUCCUGGAAUAAGCUUCCUAUGUUGUUCACUACCUCAUUAUCUUAUAUCUCUUUGAAGUAUUAAAACA